GCGCGGAUGAUCUUCACUGGUGUGGAGUGCGGGCUUCAAACCCGUAGCCGAUUAGCGUCGGAGUGGUUCAAUUCCACCUUCUGCGCG